UGGUGAUGAUGGCGAAGAGGUCACACCCGUUCCCAUGCCGAACACGGAAGUUAAGUUCUUCAGCGCCGAUGGUAGUCGGGGGUUUCCCCCUGUGAGAGUAGGACAUCGCCAGGCA
rnacentral:rRNA from 1 species